rnacentral:rRNA from 1 species
CCUACGGGAGGCAGCAGUGGGGGAUAUUGGACAAUGGGGGGAACCCUGAUCCAGCGACGCCGCGUGAGUGAAGAAGUAUCUCGGUAUGUAAAGCUCUGUCAGCAGGGAAGAAAGAAAUGACGGUACCUGACCAAGAAGCCCCGGCUAACUACGUGCCAGCAGCCGCGGUAAUACGUAGGGGGCAAGCGUUAUCCGGAAUUACUGGGUGUAAAGGGAGCGUAGACGGUUAAGUAAGUCUGGAGUGAAAGGCCGGGGCCCAACCCCGGGACUGCUCUGGAAACUAUUGAACUUGAGUGCAGGGGAGGUAAGCGGAAUUCCUGGUGUAGCGGUGAAAUGCGUAGAUAUUAGGAGGAACACCAGUGGCGAAGGCGGCUUACUGGACUGUAACUGACGUUGAGGCUCGAAAGCGUGGGGAGCAAACAGGAUUAGAUACCCCAGUAGUC